rnacentral:rRNA from 1 species
GACGAACGCUGGCGGCGUGCUUAACACAUGCAAGUCGAACGGAAAGGCCCUGCUUGCAGGGUACUCGAGUGGCGAACGGGUGAGUAACACGUGGGUGAUCUGCCCUGCACUUCGGGAUAAGCCUGGGAAACUGGGUCUAAUACCGGAUAGGAGCCAUUUUUAGUGUGAUGGUUGGAAAGUUUUUUCGGUGUAGGAUGAGCUCGCGGCCUAUCAGCUUGUUGGUGGGGUAAUGGCCUACCAAGGCGGCGACGGGUAGCCGGCCUGAGAGGGUGGACGGCCACAUUGGGACUGAGAUACGGCCCAGACUCCUACGGGAGGCAGCAGUGGGGAAUAUUGCACAAUGGGCGCAAGCCUGAUGCAGCGACGCCGCGUGGGGGAUGACGGCCUUCGGGUUGGAAACUCCUUUCGCUAGGGACGAAGCUUUUUGUGGCGGUACCUAGAUAAGAAGCACCGGCUAACUACGUG